CCUCUCUUGUUCGCCUAGCUAAAACAAGAAACCCGACAUUUUGAGACAUUCCCGAAAAGAACAAAACCUUCCACUGAACGACUGAGGCAACGAGAAGAACUAGAAAGGUCCGGUUUCUGUGCAACCUGCCACCCUAUAUUAAGUGAAAGUCUAUGGGGACACAACGCCAAUCAGGAGCCUCUUCUGAAGAGGGUUUCUGCGUUGCGGUAGUGGGGAUUUUAGUGGCAGUAAUCCUCUGGUGUGCUUUUCGUAUAGACCGUAUGAAAAGAGAGAACGAGAGACUGACAAGCGAAAAGGAGGAUCUAAAAAGAGAGAACGAGAGACUGGGAAAAGAAAAUGGGGGACUUCUGGAGCAAAAUGGCA